rnacentral:rRNA from 1 species
CAGUCGACGAUGAUGCCCAGCUUGCUGGGUGGAUUAGUGGCGAACGGGUGAGUAACACGUGAGUAACCUGCCCCUGACUCUGGGAUAAGCGUUGGAAACGACGUCUAAUACUGGAUAUGACUACCGGCCGCAUGGUCUGGUGGUGGAAAGAUUUUUUGGUUGGGGAUGGACUCGCGGCCUAUCAGCUUGUUGGUGAGGUAAUGGCUCACCAAGGCGACGACGGGUAGCCGGCCUGAGAGGGUGACCGGCCACACUGGGACUGAGACACGGCCCAGACUCCUACGGGAGGCAGCAGUGGGGAAUAUUGCACAAUGGGCGAAAGCCUGAUGCAGCAACGCCGCGUGAGGGAUGACGGCCUUCGGGUUGUAAACCUCUUUUAGUAGGGAAGAAGCGACUGAGUUUACUCUGAGUGACGGUACCUGCAGAAAAAGCACCGGCUAACUACGUGCCAGCAGCCGCGGUAAUACGUAGGGUGCAAGCGUUGUCCGGAAUUAUUGGGCGUAAAGAGCUCGUAGGCGGUUUGUCGCGUCUGCUGUGAAAUCCCGAGGCUCAACCUCGGGCUUGCAGUGGGUACGGGCAGACUAGAGUGCGGUAGGGGAGAUUGGAAUUCCUGGUGUAGCGGUGGAAUGCGCAGAUAUCAGGAGGAACACCGAUUGCGAAGGCAGAUCUCUAGGCCGUAACUGACGCUGAGGAGCGAAAGCAUGAGGAGCGAACAGGAUUAGAUACCCUGGUAGUCCAUGCCGUAAACGUUGGGCGCUAGAUGUAGGGACCU